AAGAACUUAGGAUAAUACUAAACCAAGGGCCUUCAAAGCCCUAAAUGGGGGUGAAAAUCCCCCAGUUCUUG
rnacentral:tRNA from 1 species